AUUGAACGCUGGCGGCAUGCCUUACACAUGCAAGUCGAACGGCAGCACGGACUUCGGUCUGGUGGCGAGUGGCGAACGGGUAAGUAAUGUAUCGGAACGUACCUUUCAGUGGGGGAUAACGUAGCGAAAGUUACGCUAAUACCGCAUAUUCUGUGAGCAGGAAAGCAGGGGAUCGAAAGACCUUGCGCUGAUUGAGCGGCCGAUAUCAGAUUAGCUAGUGGGUGGGGUAAAGGCCUACCAAGGCGACGAUCUGUAGCGGGUCUGAGAGGAUGAUCCGCCACACUGGAACUGAGACACGGUCCAGACUCCUACGGGAGGCAGCAGUGGGGAAUUUUGGACAAUGGGGGCAACCCUGAUCCAGCCAUGCCGCGUGAGUGAAGAAGGCCUUCGGGUUGUAAAGCUCUUUCGGCCGGGAAGAAAUCGCAUAGGCUAAUACCCUGUGUGGAUGACGGUACCGGAAUAAGAAGCACCGGCUAACUACGUG
rnacentral:rRNA from 1 species